rnacentral:rRNA from 1 species
GAUGAACGCUGGCGGCGUGCCUAAUACAUGCAAGUCGAGCGAACAGACGAGGAGCUUGCUCCUCUGACGUUAGCGGCGGACGGGUGAGUGACACGUGGAUAACCUACCUAUAAGACUGGGAUAACUUCGGGAAACCGGAGCUAAUACCGGAUAAUAUAUUGAACCGCAUGGUUCAAUAGUGAAAGACGGUUUUGCUGUCACUUAUAGAUGGAUCCGCGCCGCAUUAGCUAGUUGGUAAGGUAACGGCUUACCAAGGCGACGAUGCGUAGCCGACCUGAGAGGGUGAUCGGCCACACUGGAACUGAGACACGGUCCAGACUCCUACGGGAGGCAGCAGUAGGGAAUCUUCCGCAAUGGGCGAAAGCCUGACGGAGCAACGCCGCGUGAGUGAUGAAGGUCUUCGGAUCGUAAAACUCUGUUAUUAGGGAAGAACAAAUGUGUAAGUAGCUAUGCACGUCUUGACGGUACCUAAUCAGAAAGCCACGGCUAACUACGUG